UACGUAGGGCGCAAGCGUUGUCCGGAAUUAUUGGGCGUAAAGAGCUCGUAGGCGGUUUGCCGCGUCUGCCGUGAAAGCCCGGGGCUCAACCCCGGGUCUGCCAUGCCGACUGUCAGGCUGGAGUACUGUAGGGGCAGGCGGAAUUCCGGGUGUAGCGGUGGAAUGCGUAGAGAUCCGGAGGAAGACCGGUGGCGAAGGCGGCCUGCUGGGCAGUUACUGACACUGAUGCGCGACAGCGUGGGGAGCAAACAGG
rnacentral:rRNA from 1 species